GUGCCUAUACUGCAAGUUGAGCGCUGAAGGUUGGUACUUGUACCGACUGGAUGAGCAGCGAACCCGUUAGUAACGCGUGGGGAAUCUGCCUUUGAGCGGGGGACAACAUUUGGAAACGAAUGCUAAUACCGCAUAACAACUUUAAACACAAGUUUUAAGUUUGAAAGAUGCAAUUGCAUCACUCAAAGAUGAUCCCGCGUUGUAUUAGCUAGUUGGUGAGGUAAAGGCUCACCAAGGCGAUGAUACAUAGCCGACCUGAGAGGGUGAUCGGCCACAUUGGGACUGAGACACGGCCCAAACUCCUACGGGAGGCAGCAGUAGGGAAUCUUCGGCAAUGGACGAAAGUCUGACCGAGCAACGCCGCGUGAGUGAAGAAGGUUUUCGGAUCGUAAAACUCUGUUGGUAGAGAAGAACGUUGGUGAGAGUGGAAAGCUCAUCAAGUGACGGUAACUACCCAGAAAGGGACGGCUAACUACGUGCCAGCAGCCGCGGUAAUACGUAGGUCCCGAGCGUUGUCCGGAUUUAUUGGGCGUAAAGCGAGCGCAGGUGGUUUAUUAAGUCUGGUGUAAAAGGCAGUGGCUCAACCAUUGUAUGCAUUGGAAACUGGUAGACUUGAGUGCAGGAGAGGAGAGUGGAAUUCCAUGUGUAGCGGUGAAAUGCGUAGAUAUAUGGAGGAACACCGGUGGCGAAAGCGGCUCUCUGGCCUGUAACUGACACUGAGGCUCGAAAGCGUGGGGAGCAAACAGGAUUAGAUACCCUGGUAGUCCACGCCGUAAACGAUGAGUGCUAGAUGUAGGG
rnacentral:rRNA from 1 species